AAUAAAGCACGGAGUGCUUCUGGUCGUACGUCGUCGGCGUUUUUGCGAAAAAGCCCCUCUGUUUCUUUGAAAUUAACCCGCAGUCCAAAAAUAAAUGAGAAAAAACGAUUCGAUGUAACUACCAAACGAAUCCUCCGCCUCCUCCCCUGCUCUCGCCAUCGCCCGCAGAGCUCCACCCAAUCCCUCGCUCGCUCGGUGAGAUCCAAGGCGGCCGCGUCGGCUGGGAGCGGACCCACGCGGGAGGAGGAGUUCGGCGAGCAUGAGCUGGAGGUGGCAGCCAUUCUCGCGGACCUGUCGUCCAUCGUGCGGGCCAGCAGUAGGAGCAGGCGCGGCCGGAGAUCCCCUCGUGGAGCCGGCGCCGGCCGAGGAAGGCCCUAGCGGCUCCGCCGGCCAAGAAGCCCGCGGCCGAUAGCCCGGGCACCCUGCUCGCCUUCCUCGACGACGACGAGGCGGCGGCAGCGCAUGACAAGUCGGCGCAGGAGCAGCGCGGCGAUUUUGACGAGUAGGAGAUGGAGCGCGUCACAAGCACCUUGGCUGCACCCUGAGGUUAUCCAUCAGGCAAACUGUCAUCGCACUGUCGUUCACGAUGCUGCUCCCAAGCCUCCCGACGAGAUUGUGCGAGUUGCAACUUACAUGACGCAUAUUCUUUUGCUAUACUUCGGAAGCUGGCAAUAGCAGCGGCAACGUCGACGCAGCCACGGGCUGGACAAAACUUGAUUAGCUUAUUACUGCAUCAAUAAUUUGUGCCUGUAGGACUCUUUCACAAAUCAUGUCAACGAGACUAGCAAUUUGAAGAGGCUGCUGCACAUGAUAUGAAGAUAUUGGCAUAUACAGUCCCAAACAUAAGUUUCAAAAUAGCAGGUGUGGAGUUUAGCCCUGUUCCGCUGUAUGGAAAGCCAUGACCUCCACAUAGAUGAUGCAAGAGGAAACAAGCUAGACUCACAACUUUGGUUUUCAGGCAUCUUCACCAACAAAUAUUACCCUGGUACUGACAGGUUGUUAGUAUUAUAUAAGUAUACUUGUUCAGCCUUUCCAUGUGCUGGUCUGAAUAUCUAAACAAGGAAGCAGGCUCAGUUGCUCACCAACCUACUAUUGCUGCCAACAAGUAGCCAGAAGCCCAUAGAAGACAUUUGCAUUGAUCACAGAAAAAUGAAGAUCACAGAAAAAUGAAGUAUAGAAUUUGUAGGACAUUGUCAUCCUAAUCUGGUUCCCACAUAUUCAAGAUGUGGAGAUUAGAUAUUUGCUCCAACAAAGCCAUGACCUUCAAUUUUGUUGUUAAUUUAACAGCUGUUUUGAUUGUGCCGAUCGAUCGGCUUAUAAGAGCCAAUUUGGUUUCUUGUGAACUAGAGCAUCCUAUUUUUCAUGAUUAUAUUAAGAGCUUCCUGUUUUUCAUGAUUAUAUUAAGAACUCACAGAUCUCCUUCACAGCCACACCUAACCUGCACAUCAUCUAGAUUCAAGAGAGCCCUACUACUGCAUCCACCCUAAAAUCAAUGUAAAAACAAGGGAAGUUCUAACCCGAUAUCUCCGUCUCCUGUGAACAAAUUUUAAGCCCGAUUGAUGGCAAGUGCAUUGCAUGUGUAAGUAAUCUGGGUUGAACGUACUUGAGGUCUUCCAUCACUUUUAUUACUUGAAUAGAAAUAGUGCACAUUGCACAAACUACCCAUUAAUGGGCAACUGAUAUAUAUGAUGCUUGGUUCAUAAUAGCUACUUCAGGUUAUCCCUUCUGCUAUAUUUUUCGUACUCCCUACUUUUGUGAGAUCUGAACUGGUAGAGAAAACAGACCGGGAUAUUCGGUUCCUACCUAGAGAUGUAGUGAGGACUUACUGUAUUGAUUAGUCAUUUGAAGAGUUAACUAGAAAGCAUUUAGUAUGUCUUCAGUUAUGUUGUCGUGGGCUGUGCACACGAUUCACAGACAAAAAAACAGCACCGUGCAUUGUUUUUUUACAUGCAUGCAGCAUGUGCAACAAAUUUUCUACUAUGGACUAAAAACAAUCACCAACUAGCUGAAUCAACGGACACUCUAUGGGAAGAAGAACAAGCAUACUAAAUAACGCGAAGCAGAGUAAUUCCAAGAUAUUUUGAGAAUUCAUUGCAGUGGACUGUGUUGUGAUUCGAUUUUUCUUAACCUUGAUAAUAUUGUCUUGGAUUUGAAAUGAUGGUAUACAUUUAUUCUUCUUCUUUUGAAUAAAUGUGAAGACCAAACUUAGAAAAUUGUACCGGUUGUGAUUUCAAUCAAGUUUGAGGCUUCUGUCAAAUAUAAUUAUGUUCCCUGCUGAUUAUAAUUUUGUUCACGUAGAUGCAUGAAGUUUCUUGUUCGUUUUAUUUGGAAAUAAUCUUGAUUUAUUCUACCGUCUUGAUCGUAAAGCGACAUUUUUCUCCUGACACUGUUCGCUGGUCACUGUGGUGAACCGAACAGCAAAUCAAGGACUUUAGAGCCUGGUCGCAGACCUCACGGAGCACCAACGAUAGCCUCAAGGUGAUUCAGCAGAGCAAGGUGAUGAGUACUCAGCUGGCUGGCCAAUAUCAAUGAUCUUAUCGGCCGGCAAAGCGGAGACGGACGACCACGGUCCCGACCUUGCCAGCAGGCGGAGACAAUAAAUGGGAUCAAGGGAAGUUGGUCGGGCUCCAGCGGCACAUGCUUACCACUGCUGACUGUUGCCGGGAAAGGUAUGUUGGUUUGAUUCUUUCAAGAUCCCAAACUAAAACAAGUCACCUGUGACAUUUGAAUGAUGCAAAGGUUUGUUGUCUCUUCCCAAGAAAUUGUGUGCAGAGAAGCUGCCUUGAUUUUACAUGCUGAACCUAUUUUUGCAUAAUCAAACACUGACGAUCAGAGAGAUGAAUGUGCAGUAUGCUAAAUUUGGGUAUCCAAUUGCAAAAGAAUUGGAUUAUUAUUUACAUUAGAAGCCAGGUUAUCACUAUGUAUUUUAAAUUGAUCGCUCAUGGACCGCUCAAUUGGCCAUAAACACAACAUAAUUCGAUCCCUCCCUUCAAAUUGGCAACUAAAGGGAAGGUGAGUUAAAAUGUCUCAGCCCCUGUGACCUGGCUGGUUAUGUUUAUAUUACAUCCAAUAUUAUGUGUACUCAUUUGAUCUAAGGUUAUUUUUAAUAACUUGUUUUUUUUGUCACGAACAAAUCGAUGAACCGGCGGUCCAACCGGUGACAGACGCAACGGUUCAGUUGCCCGUUCGGUUUUAAAAAAUAUAGUCCGAUGGCCAUGGUGGAAGAACACAACAUGAAGUGCUUUGUAUCCCGAGAACGACGAGGAGACAUGAGCAGCCGGUGGCAGUGCUUCGCACUUCGAGCAGUAGGGAUACUUGAUCAUAGGGAAAGGGAAGGGAGAUGAGUUCGUGCUUGCAUGAUUUUUAGGGAAAGAGCGUGUGUAUUGUACUUCUGUGUGCAUGAAGUGUUUUGUUUGGGCCAAGCCCAAAUAAUGAAAAUAAAACACUAUCUCUAAAACUAUUCAAAUCCUUUUGCA